ACUGCCUCACCGCCCCUAUUGCAAAAAUCUUCUUCCUUAUAUCCAGUCUAAAUCUCCCCUCUUUUAGUUUGAAACCAUUUCCCCUUCUCCUAUCACAACAGACCCUGCUACAGAGUCUUUCUUACAGCCUGUGUCUACAGCACUGGUUGUUGCUAGAUAGAAGUGGUGUCAGCCCAAAGUCACCCUGCCCGAGGUCCCCUCGUGUUUACAGGGGGACAUCCCCAUGACAGAGCGCUCCAGGCCUCCUCCUGGCACGUGCUCCUGAGCCUUUAAUCAUCUGCAGCAUUGGUAAAAUGUUUUCUUGAGGAGACAAUUGAUAAAGCGGAUGAAAAGGGAUCUAAAUUCCUCGUCAGGCUCAAGCUCUGAAAAGCGCAGCCAUAUGAAAAGCAAACAUUUCAUCUUCAUGUCGGAGCAGGUAGAGGUGUUCAAAUGGGAUGCAAACUGCUCGCAGCAGCUGAACUAAUCUAAAGUGCCAUUAAAAUUCAUCACGGAGAAAUCCAGCACCGCAAGAAAUGGCUUCUUCCAACCUAUUUCUGAGUCUGCUGUCUCGGGGUGCUGCCGUGGUGCCCGUGUGUGCCAAGAGCAGGACCUGGAGGUCCUGAGCACACCUGUGCAUGGCCUAUGGUGCUUCUGAAGCAUUUUAAGCAGUUUGUGCAGGGCAAAACACAGCAGCAACCAGGCCCAGGUGUGACGGCUGCCGACAAGCUGAGGGCUUCUCUGAGGUUUGAGUAUUAGUAUUUAUUGAUUUAUUAAAAUCAGAUCAUAGAAAUGCCAGUCUGAGUUCAGGGUCUGGCUACAAGGACGCACCUGUGUUUCACACCGAGAAACUUGUCUCAACGUUAAUCAAUGGCUGCUUAAAAAUAUAUAUGUAUAGGAGUACAGAAAGAAAGGAAUGCGCAGCACAGCCUUUGCAAUGUGCAGGCUGCAGCAAGUGGUAAUUUCAGCACCUUCUUGUCCACCUCCGUGAAGAAUACCAAAAAAGAAAAUCUUUUUCAACAUUGCCAGUGCAGUUCUGGGGAUAGAAAUGGAAGUUAGGGCAAUGAACGUUGCUGCAUGGCAGGGAUGCCAGGCUUUGGGCACUGGCAAGUGUGCAAACAUGAAAGUCUCGCUUGACUUUUUAACGUUCUGCUCUGUUGUGAUAGUUCCCAUGUUGGUGUUGUUCUAGACCUCCUGAUCCCGACCUCUGAAAGUCCUUCCUGCUGGAAAGCAGCAGCUUCUGUACGAACUAAGAGCACAGCUGAGUUGGAAGUUGCCUUCAUAACAGCUUUGAUGUUUCAGUGCUUUUUACAGGGGACAGGAUUCGGUAACCUGCUUCCUAACCUGUGGAAAACGUGCAGAGUGAAAACCAAAUUCUAGAGGGAGUAACCAUACACCUCUGGGAAGAGCCACCAAACAGCCAGGCUGAGCUGUGGGGCUGUGGGUUUGCCAGGAAACCUCCCCGAGCUAUGACUUUAAAUUGCCACUAAGUGGCAGUCAAGUAAAAAUUAUGGUAAAAUGAAACUUUCCCAAAUAAAUAUUUCAUCUAAUGUCAGUGCAAGGUGCAGCAGCAUCAACAGAAUUCCUGAGCCCUGUGAUGCCUGGGAAGCAACACCUAGGGAGGAGAUGGCAAUGAGAGGGAUCUGUGGAAAUCCACACGGGUUUUUCUUGGGAGGUGUACAGUGUGUGGAAAGGUUUGCUUCCUGGUUUGUUACAGAACCACAGAAUCAUUCAGGUUGGGAAAGACCUCUAAGACCCCCCAGCCCACCCCGCCCUGCCCAUCACCAAUGCCAGUGCCACGUCCCCACUGUUCUGGAGCUCCUCUGGGGAUGGUGACCCCAGCACUCCCUGGGCAGCUGUGCCAGUGCAGCACCACUCUUCCAGUGAAAACAUUACUCCUAACUUAUGACUUUUUAAAAAUCAGCCUAAAUAGGUUCAGGACAUCAAUCAAGCGUGUGCAUGGUUGGCAUAAAGGCAGGGAAGAAGACUCGCAGCGUUUCCUUCCCACUGUAAUUGAGCAUCCACUUGCAAAACUGAGAUUCCCCAUGUAGGAGCCCCUGGGUAACGCUUGGCUCUGAUGCAUUAUUAACCGUUUUAAUUUUUAAGUGGUUUGAAGAUACCCAGGUAAAGCGAGGCAGAACUAGGUCAGGCUUUAAUUAGCAGCUGUGCAGUUUUGUCACCUUUUGUGAAUCUCAGGGAGCCCGGGGCCCUCCCCUGCUCUGCAGUGGAACUGGAUCGGAGAUGACCUCUUCAGGGAGAAAUGGUAAUUGGAAGUGUCGGUUAUCUGAAACUUUUAUCCGAAAAGACAGGAUCCCAGGCACCGCGCCAACAUCCUUACAUUUAGAAUAUUUUAAGAUAUUUGAAGAAAGUCACAUGCACGGCAUAAAUUUUAAUGUUCAAAGGACUCUUGAGAUAAUUUUUUUUUUUUUUUCCCCAAGCGUAAGGCAAAUAGCAGGAAGGGAAAGAUACGUAUCACAAAGUCAUCUAAAAACGCCGGGGGGGGGGAGAUUUGUCUUCAGCCACCAGGAAUUGCUCCGCGUUGAUCCGUACUGCUAUUUCUUACAAUGUUUUUGGAAUCCAGAGGUCGCACAGAGUGACCGUGUUUUCAGCCUGGAGUCCGCCUGUUUCCAUCGCCACCUUUGUUCAGUCUUUGAAGGGACGGGGAAAAAAAGCAAACCCCUACCCUGGCUUCAAAACGUGGUAUUUCUGGAAACAUUAAACGAUGCGAUGAAAACGCUGAGCAGAACGUGCCCAGAUGUGUGAGCUGUGCUCCUCGUGGAGCUACGGACCCAUUCCAGGUGAUGCUCCCAACCCCCUUUGCUUUCCUAAGGGCUUUUCCAUUGUCACAGGUCUGCAUUUACAGCAGCCUUCCCUGUUUUUGAGCAGAAAUGCUGUAACGCCGACUGAUGUGGUUGUUUCUCCUUGCUUUUUUUAUGUGCUGAUUUACCCCCUGAGUUUUAUUUGCAGUUUAUCUCAGCCUGGGCUCAGCAAGAGGCUGGGUGCUGCUGCCUUUGGUGUCACACUGCCAAGCAGCGGCGAGCUGCAACAGCAUCAGCUCAGCAGAGAGGACGUGCAGACACCUGGAGGUUCCCUAGCAAAGCCAUGCUGUGCAGUGAGUCCUGUCUGGGCGGCGCUCCUGGAGCUGACUGCAUCCCAUCUCUCACCAGAAUGAAGCCCCGUGCCCUGCAACCCCAUGAAGGACGUGGGGAGCCGUGGUCUGAUGCAGCAAACCUGUGCCUCCAAGUCUGCUUCAGGUGUUCACAUCGAGACCAUCCCCAGAUAUAUGUAAUGCCAGAACUCUCUAGGGCGUGUGAAGGCUCCUUUGUGUUGGACAUCUUACCCGAGCAGCUCCGGGAGGUAUUUGGUUGGGUGAGAUGUGAAUGCACAGAACGGACCUGAGGUAGAAGAAGAGCAGAUAAACAGAGGAGUGGGUGACUGUGCUUCAGCCUCAGAGCCAUUGACUUCAAGAUUCUACUGGAUCAGCCCUGUGCUCCUAAGUAGGUUUGACGGAUGCAAGCAUAGAGGCACUUUAUGGUACUGAAGCUUAUAAAAGACCCUUUGUUCAUCCCUUCAGCUCCACAGGGCAAUGUAACAGCAGAGAUUAUUUUUGCUACUGGUCAGCAGGUCAGCGUCAGUGAUGAGUGAACCAUAAAAAUGAGCCAUUCUUGCUGUAAACCUGGAGCGUUUCUGUACAGUCAUGGUUGGACUCAGAAAUAGCCUUGAAAGAGCUGGAAACUUUUCACUCGUCCACUUCCACCAUUGUAGACAGAAGUGAAGAAAUGAAGAAGAAGAAGAAAAGAAUGUCAUUGGGGUGAGUACGAUCAAGGAACAAAGUGGUGUUACUGCUUUGUCCUGGAAAUGACUCAUCAUUUCAAGUCCCUUGGGAGGGUGACGAUCUUGGUGCAUCUACUGCAUGGGUUCAUUGGCUUUGGCCUUCAGUGCCAUCACUCCAGGAAAUUCACCUGUUCAUGGAUUUUUCCCCCAGGAAGCAGUAAAUCUUCUAAAAAUGGAGAAGUCCAGAUGGACAUUUGCUGGCCUUGUAAAAUAGCUACAAAAUAUUCAGAUUAUUAUCAGGUAAAGAGUUUAAAAAUUUAUAUAGAUUGUUUGAAAUGGGAAUAACUGAGAGGACACUUGUACCCACAGGGUUUGCCAGUCUAUAAACAUGAAUUUGUGGUUAUAUUUGUAAAUGUAAUACCUUGCGUAAGAUAUUUUACACUUAUUUUAAUGCCUAGAAAUACUCUUUUUGUAAAUAUAUUCAUUCUUCUUAGUUACACUCCAUUAACUGGCGUUUAGUUAACGUGCGUACAGACUGUAUCAGCCAUUUUAAUAGAACAAGAAUGGGAAGAAAAACUGUAAGACACGAGCUGGCAUCAGAUUUAUCUGGAGAGAGAAAAUAUCAGCAGAAAAAAAACUGUUGUGGGAUGUUAAAAAAUCACCUGCUUCUUAGAGGAGAUACAAUUGGGUAACGAUCCAUGGAAACAUGAAUGCUUCAGAUUGCAUAUCUUCUAUUCAAAUUUAUGACCAGCUGUCAGAGCGCUGGUGCCCCUCACUCCAUGAGAGGGAUUGCUCUUUGCAGAGCAGUAAUGAGCAGAUUAUGGGUGGUGCUGGAAAAAGUAUGGAACUCUUUGAGAAAUUGCAGUGCAUCGUAUUAACUUCUCUCUGAUGUUAGCAAUUUCCCAUCAUAUUGUAUUACCAAUCACUGUCACUAAUAUACCAUGAAAUUCAGAUGUAUAAUGUAGUGUACAACUCAACCUCUCAUUUCAAAGGUUUGUUACCCAUAAUCCUGCAUGAGUCAUUAGUAAUGUCACUGAACAGAGGAAAACUCAUUCACUUCUUACAGUGUUUCCCCUGCUGGCAAAUAACUGACAUAUUACACGUGGGCACAAUGCAAAAUUCUCCAGAGAGUCUUGAUUGCAGCAAUGUGAAAAGUAUGUCUCUUUAAUGGGCAAUCAGGUCUACAAGCAGCCCCCAACUAUCCCAGUGUAGCGUGCCCCGCUGGACGGCUGAACAGCUGGGCUCUUUGAUGGAGCAUCUAUUUUCUUUGCUUUAAAUUAUUUAUGUAUCGAAACAUUGUUUGUAGUGUUUUAAUGGCAAGAUUAUGCUAAGGGGUAAAAGUAUCCCCAUUGAAAAAAAUGGAAAAGUAUCUGGGUAUGGUUAAAAUUUGGGAAAGAACUUACAGUUUUCUGGGAGCUGGUCUCACUUGCAGAUACCACUUAACAGCUUGUGGCUCAGGGAGAAAGGCCAGCACCAGGCCCCUCAGGAGCAUGCAGCACAGGAGCAGGAGCAAGCCACGCUGCCAACUGCAUGGGAAUGAGACAUGAGUGGAACCCAGGUAUUGCUCUGCUCCUCCAAGAGAAAAAGUAUGGCUUUAGAGAGCCUCAACUUGUUGUGUAGUUGUACUCCACAAACCACCUGAACUUCACCAGAGCUCCCACUUGGAGAGGUCACUCUGAACUGUGGUCCUGUUGCCCAUAGUGACGUGCUGUGAAUUUUCAUUUAGUUCCAAUUUCCUCACUUGUCUUAUGUGAAAGUUAAAUGUGAUGGUGUCAAAAGCCUUCCUGAGUCAAGAUUUAUGAUGUCUACUGCUCCCCUUUGCCUACACACUAAUUAUCUUGCUGGAGAAGGAAGCUAGGUUGGUUUGUUGUGAAAUUCAUUGGCCUUUUCCCACCUUCUUACUGCUGGACUACACAUACAGCAUUCAGUUGUUUUCUCUGUUGUUUUUGCAGGUGGUAGGUUAUCCAGCAGGUCUGCACUUCCCAAGGUGCUCCCUGCACAGACAGGUGACAUUGUCCUCUGGAUCCACAGAGGAGAGCUGAUGCUUCUGGGCUAACUUCAGAGCCAUAUCUGGAAAUACCGUUCUCUUCCAGAUCCCUUAGGAAUACAUUAACGGAUGUUUAUUCAGUUUCUUGUUUGAAUUAAGUCAUUCUUGCUACUUAUUUUAUUUUUAGUCCUUAGCAUAAGCUAUUUCUGUUUUCUCACCAAUCUUUCAUCAAGCCCAAGAUCAGGUCAAGAGCCUUAGAGCUGAUGUGUCAUUUUGCUCAUGACAGCGCUCUGACAAGCGGAUGCAGCAGUGUGUUUGAGGCAUCCAGAGAGGAGGAAAAAAGCACGUUUAAAGUAGGCAGGACGAGUAGCAGGAUGGCAGCACGUCUGUAAGAUCACCUGCCAAGGCAUGGUUAUCACUUCUUAAUUUUGCCUCCCACUGGGCCGUGUGGAGGUGAUUCUGCAGCCGUACCCCCAGCUCACAGUGCUGCAAAGCUGCAGUCAUUAAUGCUGAAGGCAGCGAGGUUCAUUGUCGAUUCUCCCAGCAAUAGUGUGUCAGCUGAGAGACAGGCCCAGUGGUUCCUGCAUCGCCAAUUCGAGUACUUAGCCUGCCAUUCCCAAUUUACUUCAUGAAGUGUCUGCAGUCUCCAAGUUUGCUAACGUCACGAUGGUGAUGUAUCUAUUCUUGUCUCUGAAAGGAUGCAAAAGGGACAUUAGAGCCAGCACAACUCUGUUAAAUACCUUGUUGGCAGGGGAUAUCAGAAAUGCAAUCUGCUUUUUAAGCACAACUUGCUAAAUAUUAUAUUUCAUGGAGUGCAUCAUUAUUAGGAAUGAUGCUUGUGACAGUAGCAUACAUGGCGUUUUCCUCUACAUGAUCUGGAUGACAGUUUAUGACCUGAUUGGCAUGCCAAUAUUUUUGCUUAUACAAAUCACCAGACAACUACAGUCAAAAUGUAAUUAAAACCGAGAUCCAGGCUGCUACCGGUUUAAAUCAGGCAAAAGACACAGUGACCCAGCAACGAUGAACUCUCAGUGACUCUAUCAGCAACUUACCAUCAUUAACUCUUGCAGCCUGGCUGGUGCUGGAGGGGAGCAAAGCUGCCGGGUGUCACGGUGCAGAGGUGUGUUAUCUGCAGCACUGUGAUCAUGCGCUGGGGUGCUGCCUGCUUCAGAGAGCUAGGCAGAAACUUUUGCCAAAACAGUUUAUCGACAGAAAAUAUCAGUUGAUCCAGCUCAGCAGAAAAUACUAGCUCCAGCAAAGCACGAGGAUUAUGGCAUUCAUCAGCAAUGGCUUUGUUAUCUCAGCCUUGUUUUGGGAAGCCCUGGUUGAGUGCUCAGACCAGGGCUGCACUGUGCUGGUUCUCUCCCAUCCUCAGUACCCCAGGAUUCAAUUCCGACACUUUGGAAGUCUCAGAGCUAUUUCUGGCUGCCUCUACCAGCGUACCCCUGCACGGUGUUUGAGAAGCAGGAGGAAUAGCAAGGAAGCCUUCACUGCGAAUCCCAUUUCAGCUCAGAGCUUCUGUAAAUUUAAGAAUUUGCAUAAAAACACCAAGUCUCUACUGUGAUUGCUAAAUUGGGCUUUAGGAGAAAAUGAUUUAAAAAAAAAAAAGGCAAAAGAAUGGAAUGGAGGAAUCUUUAAGUGCUUACAUACAUCUUGUAUCUCCAUGUCAAAUCUUGGGCCAAAUUUUCUGAUCUAAAGGCUAGAAUGGUUCAAAGGUGUUCAGGUAAAGCAGGUGUUUAAAAGCUUCUCCAAAUGUGGCUGCUGAGCUGUGAGAAUGUAAAACUUGGACUAUGCCUAAACUCGAGCCAUUUAUAUUUAUUACUAAUUUCCACCAGGAUCCUGGUCUCAUUCUGCUUCUAAUGAUUAUUUCUUCCCAUUAGAAAUUGGCACUGGGGCUACGAGACACAGGUGAGACCCCAAGGCUGGGCUUCCCUUGUUGCUUGAAGGCAGUGCCAUGGUUGUCUGCGUGGGGUGUUCACAGCAGAGCACCAACACCCAGUGCUUGGCCCAGGGUGGGAAACCUAUAGUAGCUGCUGCUUGGGACCUUGUCAGUGCACACAGCAGAGCUGUUUCCUAUCACAACAUGUUCAGCUGUGGCACUCGCUGCCACAGGAGGCUGGUUGCCAAAAGCUUAAAUGGUGCAAAAGGCAAUUAGAUGAGUUCAUGGAAGAGCGACACGGCAAGGACGAUAACACACAGAAGCCACCUUGAGCACAGAAAGUCACUAAGCACAGCUUCCUGGAGACUGCCAGAGCACACAGGCUGCGUGUCUGUCCUGGUAUGAACCUCUUCUCUAGGCAUCCACAGCUCCAUGGAGUCAGAAACAGGACACUGGACCAGGGAGAGCCAGCAUGGCCAUCCUCAUGGUAGGAGAUGACUUGUUUUCAUCUCUUUUGGACAACACUAGAAGAUGUUACGACUGCACAAUCUCUUUUGUGAGUGGUGUGAGCUCUUAGCAUCUCUGAGAGCUGUUUCUGCUACAGAGGGCCGCAGCUCACCUUUAGGAGCCAGUCCUGAGGAGAGUGGCUGUCAUUGUGGCAUUAAGGACAUGGUUAGUGGGCAUGGUGGGGAUGGGUUGAUGGUUGCACUUAAUGAUCUUAGUGUUCUUUUCCAAUGUUAAUGAUUCUGUGAUUCAUCUGUCCUGCUGAAGAGCAUUGUGCCUGAGGAAGGGGAUUGCAUUGCUCAGGUUAGUAACGAGGAGGGAUUUAAAGAGGGUGAUCUGGCAAUUCCAGUAUCAGCAGGAGCUGACCCCAGGAGUUCAACAUCAUCACUGAGAGCGGAGAAAAUCCAGGAGAUUUCACUGGAACCGAGCAAGAGCUUGACAGCUGGCAAAUGCUCAUGUAAGUAGGCAACCGGGAAGUGAGCAGGAGGAGGGUGGUGGUGUUCAGCAUCACUCCUGGAAAUGUCACGUCUGAGUGCAGCCUGUAGAAAAUGUGUCCCUCUUUGGUGAGCCCGCCUCCUCUGUGGUGCCCUUCUGCUGCACGCUGCGUGCUGGGCCGUGGGGAUGGGAGGGGAAGCGGCGGCUGUGGGCAGAUUGCGUCCAGCCCCAGCAAACCAGCAUGGUUCUUCUCACUUCAAUCUCUGCUCAGACAGUCUCUAUUUUUUUCAAUAGACUAAACACCAUGGACAGCUCAAAAAAGCUUGACCGUCCUCCAGUGAUGGCCUAUGAGCCAUCCACAACCUUAUGCUCCAAAAUCCCUCCCUGGCCUCCAUUUCCAGCAGCUUUGCCCAGUGCACAAAAUAUAAAGCUGAAGUGAUGAGUCCACAUUCUCAUUCUAACAUCAAAAUUGUCUAUUUUUUCUGCUUCUGAAUAAUAAUUCUGUUGUCUCAAGAUAAGCUUUUUUCACCUUGGUGUUUUCUCUCACCGUCGCCUGAUCACAAUACGUACUCAUGCUGGACACUGUGCUUUCAUAAAGGAGCAAAAUCAGCAAGUGAGUUGUGAAGGUUGUAACUACAAAAUGUAAUAUUUUCUAAUUUCCUGAAUGGCAUUGUGCUAUUCAGAGUUUCAGAGGUAUCGUUUCCUAUCAUAGACCAUAUGUAGCACGAGAUACACUCCAGUAAUCCUCCACAGAGGUUGAAUACUGAACUGGGGUGUAAUGUAAUGUUAAAGAACCAGAUUUACAGGAAAUGCUUUGCUUCAUUGGUCACUGCUAAUAGUGAAGUUCUGCAGGAAGAUAACAGUUGGUUUUCUGCAAUCCAGCCUGCUUUUGUGCAGGCUAUUUCUGGCUUCCUCUAUAAUGUUUAGUCUCAAGGUUCUUAAUAAUGACUUGUAUUUGGAUGUUCCUGCAGGCAUCCUCACCUGACUGAUCAUAGGCUUCAGAAUCUUGUGGGUGUGUUAAUUUGAAUUAAUUAUAGCAUAUUUGACUUGCCUUUGCUGUAAAAUUGACUUGCCUAAUUUGCCUAGUAGAAGUUAUCACUAUUAAAUCCACAGAGCUGAUGAGGAUAAAUAUCUUGGGAUUCUGGUGAUCCUCCAAAGCACUUCAUACAGCCUACAGCUGAAAUCAGUCAGGUCCCAUGCCUAUGGGUAGGGUUGGUGAGCAUUCAGAAAUCCAGGUGUACACAAAACCCAAACACUUUAUGCUUUGACAUUAUUCUAAUUCAGAAGGCAUGGGGAGUGAUCUGGUGAAAAAAAAAAUUAAAAAAUUACGUUGUAGUAAGAAUGAAAGAAUUCUAAACUGCCCUAUAGAGUCAGACUAUCCUAUAUCCUAUGUAGGAUCCUGUUAUCCUACUAUCUUGUCUUAUCCACACGUGUGGCUGAUUUGUUUCUUUAUAUUGUUUCCAUUAAGUUGCUUUACCCCAAGAUUAACCCUACUGGAAACCUGACUUCAUUGAUGCCUGGAACACUGCACUAUGUAAGCUGCAUUUUGUAGUGGGUACAUGGGAGAGUAUCUUUGUCCUUCUGCAGGUGCUUCUCUUGGGCUUUGUCUCCGUUAGCCUCCAAGCAUGUCUGUGACAGCAAAAAGGAUCUGCUCCUGGUCACGAGCAAAGCUGGGAGGGUCUCAUAAGGGCCACACUAUGGCUUUCUGAGGAGGUUGAAAUUUCUUGCUCAGACUUUAACGCUGUCUGAUUAAUAAAAUGUGUUAAUUUACAUCCACUUGGAAAUUAAAUAGCAGCUCUGAUGGGAGGCACAAACAGCAGAGGUUCUUUUCAGAAUAUGUAAGAGAAGGUCUGGGGACUCUCCAUGUGAGCUUCAGGGCUUUGCAAAUGUGACGAGCUGCUUGGCAAGCCCUCAUGGGUCACAGAUGCAAUCGUCUCAUCUUCAAAAUGAUUAAACAAUAUAUGGCAGGAGCUGUGCGUAGGAGAGGUGGCACAGCCUGAACUCCAACACAAAGCUGGAAACAGCACAGACGCUCUUUACAUUUUCCAACUCGUUUGCAUCUUAUAAGAAAAUUAAGGUGUAAAUAGGUUAAUUACAAUAGCUUAGGGAUUUCCCAAGGUUUGCUUUCUGUAAUAAUCUGCAUGGUUCGGCUAAUGUAGAGUUGAAAACUUUCACUGCAUGUUGUUUUAGACAUUUAUUUAUAGAUCAGCAUGGAAAUUAAGGGUAAAUAAUAGAAUCAAGAUAAAAAUUUGGAAAUAAGAAGUUCACAAAACUUAUAUGGGUGAAUUUAACAGAGAAUAAUAAAACUCAUGAAUGAUGUGUUGCAGUGAAUUGGAAGAGCAGUGUGUGGCAACCCAAGUUGACCUCACCGAGCAAAUGGCUUGUAGGAGGAGGCAGCUUGCCCAGGUGGUGCAGGGCUCCCUUUCCAUGGCAGCUGGCUGGGGUAGCGUUACUGGGACUAUUUGUAGAAUCAUAGAGUCACUAAGGUUGGAAAAACCACUAGGAUCUAAGAUCAUCCAGUCCAACCCCAACACACCCCACCAUACCCAUCACCACGUCCCUCAGUGCCACAUCUCUGAGGUUCUGGAGCACUUCUGGGGACGGUGACCCCACCACUCCCUGGGCAGCCUGUGCCAGUGCAGCACUGCUCUUUUGGAGAAGAAAUUUUUCCUAAUAUCCAACCCGAAUGUGACUUCCUUCCUGAGUUUUGCCAUUCCAGGGAUUACCAAUUAGUAAUGAUUUUAUGGUUAGAGAAAUUCCAUAUUUUAUUCAAUGGGUUUAUUGCCAAGGAGGUUAGCAUACCGCAUAACAAACCUGGAGCAGCUGACGAUUCUGCUGAGCGUUUGCUCUGAUGCUGAAGCCAGUUAGUGAUCAGUUACAGUGUUGUUGUUCAAGAAAGUGCUCAUUUCCAGGAGCAUUAAUUUCUGUGAGUGUAGUUACAGUGGAAAGCAACGUGCUCUGAGAUUAUUUUAUUCUAGCUAGAUCCAGAAGUCCCAGCAUUGCAAAAAUGAAACUUGAAAGUUAUGCUUCCCAUAGUAUUUUACAUUAAUUUUAAUCAUAUUAUUCUCCCUUUUAUGACAUGCCUCUCUGGUGCUCGUAAACCUAGAAAUGAGUAUCAUCCACUUUCACUCCAAGUUUACAUGAUAAGUAGUUAGAUGCAUAAUUUGCCUGUUUCUUUUUGAGAUUUAAUACCUGACUGUGUUAUGGCAUUAAGAACCUUUUCCACAGCUCCGUACAUACAUCCAAUCCAUUCCCUGCUCUGCGUCCUUCACACCUCUCAGAAACGCGCUUAAAAAUCAGAUAUCAGUUAUCUCCAGAUCAAAUCAUUCCACAGCCACGUGAAUGCAAUUAAGAUAAAUGCACUCACAAUAGGAUUCCACCCAGCCCUGCCAACCUCCCAGCCUACAUUUAGAGUGAGAGAGGCACAUGUUUGGUACAGUGUGUGCUUUCUCCACAAAUUGCCUUUUCCUUUCCCAGUAUUUCCUUUCCUUUACUUAACUCUGCAACUAAUAUUUGGUUUACAGGAAAGAAACAGUGGUUCCAUGGCUAGGUGCCAAAGCAACUCCACGUAUGCGAAAGAAAAAUCAAUAUUGUUGAUGAAUCCCCUUCUAUUUCGCAGUUAAGGAUAAUUUAUUUCUAACAGUCCUCACUAUCUUUGUGUAUGAGCAUCGAGCAGGAGGAAGCACAGUAACUGUCCCAAAAAUUUGGCUUACAUGGAAAACCAUGACCCUAAUUUCUUACUGUCAGUGUCUUCUGUUCAAACUCUAGGAAAUUAACAGAAUUUUAAAAAAAAAUGGGAUUGGGUACACUGUUGAAUAGCAGAAAAAUAAUAUUUUUUAUAUCAAAAAGUGCUUUCAAUGACAUCUGCUUUCAAAACAGUGUUUUACUGAAUGAUCAACUUGGACAAAAGCUGCAGUAAAUCGCCCUGAACGAGACUGCCUGGCACCAAAUAACUGCUAACGACAGGUAGCUCCUUGACUUCUUAUAUUUCUUUCUUGCAUUUAAUCCCAUCAUUCUCAGUCCAUUAUGCAGAAGGACAUUUCCUUGCUUAAAGGGUUCUCAAUGUCACCAGGCGCUGGCCAAGAUCUGGGUACUUCUUAAACACUUGUGCAGAUGGGGUGAGAGUCAGCAGGGCUUUGCUGGGGCUGGGAAGGUGCCGGAGAGCCCUUCCAAUGCCUGGCAGUUGAGAAAACCCAAAGGGCACAACUGGGACCCUGAGCAAGUAAAAAGCUAAUUACCACAGAUGGAAAUUUCUUAAUUAGAAAUGGACCGUGGCUGUGGAGCAGGGCCUCCCAGAGUGUGGCAAAGAACUACUGCCACAGAGUUUGCUUGCAAUGAGGCAUCUGGAAAAGAAAAUAAGGUAACUCCCCGAGUGCUCUUGCAAUGUUUCCACUGGAUCUCUGCAGCUCCUUGGUGCUGAAUGUCCCCAGAGAGAGGAGCUAUUUGCAUCCACUCCGUUGGUAACAAUGUGGGAUGUUUUCCAUUUUAAGUUCUGGUUUUGCUCCUCUUGCAGUGGAAUGGUACUUGGAGAGCAGUUCUGAAAUUUCUCAUAAUCUCAACAGUCUUUUUGGGCUCCGCUGCCCUAAUCUUGCCGGGUCUGCAUUGAGUGUUUCUAUGGCAACUCCCCAGGGAGUUUUCCUCUUAUCUGGGUGAAGUUAACUGGAAACAAAUAAGUAUGUUUGAGAUGAAGUGGGGUUGGAGAAGACUGAUGUGGCCUUCGGAGCACGGUCUGAAAAAGUGGAAUUGUUCAUAAAGGGCUUUUCAGGGGCCAAAGAUUGUUCUUAAACCCCAUUUGCCUCCUGUAGAGCCACAGAGCAGCCCCAGAUAAAAUCAUUGAAUAGAAUCACAGAAUAAUUGUUGGAAAAGACCACUAAGAUCCCCAAGUCCAACCCCAGCCCACCCUACCAUGCCCAUCACUACAUCCCUCAGUGCCACAUCUCAGUGAUUCUGGAACACUUCCAGGGAUGGUGACCCCAGCACUCCCUGGGCAGCCUGUGCCAGGGCAUCACCACUCUUUCAGAGAAAAGCUGUUUCCCAGUAUCCAGCUUGAACCUCUCCUGUAACAACUUGAGGCCAUCACCUCUUGUCCUAUUGCUGUUACCUGGGAGAAGAGGCCAACUCCUGUGUAGAGGCAAAUUUUACUGCACUGAAGAUGCUUAGGCAGGGAACAGGAUUUUCACACACUGUUUGAGAAGAUCAAUAGUCCCUGUUAUACCCGAAUUAUAACAAACCUGAUGUCAUGUCUUGUUAGUGAGCAUCUCUGUGCGGUUUCAUGCACUGUGGCAAGGGAAGGCAGUGCGGGUGAUGUCCAUCUGUCACCUUGCCCUUGGGGAUGCCAGGGAAGGGACGAUGACUGCUGGUCCCUCCAUUCUCUCUCAUUGCUGUGGAUCACACCUUUCUCAGCUGGUGUCAUAAUUAACCUUAAAGCUCUUUUCCUUUGCACUUUUAGAAGACAUAGUUGAUGGGGCAGCAGCUGUUUGGAAGCUGCCAGACCUUUGCUGCUUGGUGAGCAUUUCACUUCAAGCCUGGGAAACGUCCCCAGUGGGAGCUGUGACCUGCCACUGCUGUCACCCAUGGGAAUGCAACACCUGCAGACACCAGCCAGCUCUUUUCCUUGCCUUCAUUUUGGGAUACCAGCUGCAGGUUGCUUAUCAUCGGUCCCGAGCCCUAAAGCAGAGGUGCUGAUUCCGAUCUGCAGCUGCAGCCGGGCUUAAAUCUUGAUCUGCAAACGAUGUUUCUAUAAAGAGCAGGAAAGUUGGACUGGAUGUUGUCUCUGUUUAAAUGAAAAUACCUGUUCUUAACCCAAACCACGGCCAGUGCACCACACAAAACGGGCGAGUCAAAUUUCAAAGGUAGGUGGAAAAUCAGCCUUGUUUUGGGUAAAAUGAGUGAGAAAACCCAUUCCACAGUAAACACAUCCCUGGAACCGGGGGCAAGAGCAAACUGUAUCAGUCUUUGUAAUCCAAUAUGGGAAGAAAUUCAAGCAAAUAGAUAACUUUUUGACCUGACGGGAUGAUUUCCAGCAUUUUUAUUUUGCCUGCAACAACUACGGGGCUCAAACUGAGCAGACACCUGCAGCUGGGUGCGUAUUGCUCAUGCUGUGGGUAAAGUUGUCGCUGGCUGCGGGUGGUACCACCUCCUGGGAGAUACCCAGCCCUUGCUCGUCGCUAGAUAAGCAACUUUCUGCAACUCUCAGCAUGCCUGUUUUGAUUUGAGAGGUUUAAACUGGGUCCAGGCAGUCAUGUGGAUGAUCUGCAGGGCUGAUUUGAAAGUUGUUUUCCUGGCAAGCUGGUGCUGCUGGAGCAAACCAGCACAAUUCCCUGUGUGCUGAGAACUGUGCGAGGGUCUCUACAGGGCAGCACUACAGGGCCACUGCAGCCACCUUGGUCAAGAAGCAAGGCUCGGGUGAAAGCAAACGUGGUUCAUCCAGCAGCGCAUGCAGUUCUCCCUCUGCUUGGAUGAUACGGGAUGAGUCCAGCACAUCACAUGCAUGAGAUUGCUCUGUGCUCAGGGUGCUUGCAGGGAGCUGGUGGUGGGGCUGUCCCAGGUCACGCACGGUAUGUCACACAGGGAUCCCACCCCACCAUCGUCCCCAAAUCCUGCAGUUACUGCCGUUGCUUCUCUCUUCCUGGGGUGAUUAUUUUCAAUAAUCCUAAAAACUCAGCAGAGAUAACUUCAGCGCGGGGAGCCGCCGCGCCACGGGUCACCAUUAGCAAUUAAAAUGAGAUAAACAAUUAGCCUGUGAACUUGGCACACGGGAUCGCUGCUGCCUUGGCAGCCCCUGCAGAGCCACUCUGGGGCUCAGCUGCCACCGCUCCCCUUCGGAGCAGCACUGCAGGACUGGGGUACAGUGGCGGUGCCCAGGGGAGGUGCCACCUCCAGCACAGGGCCCCCAGGCUGUAUUCCCAUAUUUAUUACACCUUCAUUUUCUUUCUCUUCCCCGCUUCUUCAUCAGGGCACUGGAGGGAAUAGGAACAUGCUAUCUAAUUUCCUAAUUUUCCCGUCAGCUUUCUGGCUUUCAAAAUGAUUGCAGCAGAAAUCUAUAAAACGAGGACGAGGGGAGCAAACUUAAUGCUGCCGUAAAUCUCCAAAAUGGAUGCAGAAACACAGUGCUCAAAGAGGAGUAAAUAAAAGUGAGGAGAGAUUCAUUCCGGUUUUCUUCUCUGUAAACCUACUGGCAGCUUGGAAUUAUUCAGAAAACAACAUUUAACUGAGAAAAAGGGAACCCUGUAAAAUAGUAAAGAUUAUUCCGUAAAGCUAAGCACCCUCCAUCAAUCAUAGCUGGGAACAUUGCUAAGUUAUAGGAACCCGCAGAUGGCUGUCAUUAAAGGGAAGGAGUCUCUCCCGCUCGGUGGGCCGUGCUGCUCCGCGCUGUACGGCUGCAAAUCGAGCUGCUUUCAUGGGGGAGCCACAAAAGUGGUUUUAAAAUAGGAAUUUCAAACAGAAGCUGCGUGAGCUGUUCAGCAGGACUCGGGCUUAUUGAGAAACCACAGCGGUAAUUUCAGGCCUGAUUUACAGGAGGCUGUAAUAAGCCUCCCUCUUUUAAAAGAAUACGGCGCUGGUUUAUGGCUGGUGCACAUCCUGGGCUGGAGGAGCUGCAGUGGGGUGGGUGCCUAGGACUGUCCCCAUUGCAAACUGGGUUGUGGGCUGAGGGCUGCAGAACGGGGUGGGAGGGGGGGGAUGGGGGAGCCAGCGAGCUCCUUCCCCACGCCAGGCACUGUCCUGUGUGCCCACCUCCAGCAUCGCUGCUCUUCCCUUUGGGAUGAGCUCACCUGGGGCUUCGACUCAGGGAGCAGCAGGGGAGAUGCUCAAAUCAAGCUGAAAAUAGCACGCACCGGCUGCUGCUGCUGCUGCUGUCAAGGCAGAGAUGUCACCAGGUGAGCUCCUCUUGGAUUAUAUAUUAAGCCACACCGUGACGUAGCACUGAGGCACAGCUCCUGGGGGACGUGCUGUCUAUCAGAGCUGAGCAGGUGUGUGAGGGGUGCUGGGGGCUGCGGUGGCAUCAGGAGCCUUUCCUGACACAAAAUGGCACAGCCACUGAUUGCAUUUUUUUAUUAUUUAUUAUUAUUUAUUUCUUAGUUCCUCCCGCACCACCCUCCUGUUCCUAUUGCACUGUUGUUGGUGCAGGCUUUGCUGGGCUCACUGCUCACCAGCCCAAGGGCUUUCUCAAGCACUAAUCCUGCAAAUGCUGUAUUUGCAAUGCUUUCCAAAAACAUGGCCAGCGGGAUCCCACAAUAUUUUUCUUCUUCUCUGUCUUUGGCUGAACCCAAGUACUGCUUGCUAUAUCUCCAACAACUCUGUUUAUAGCUCCUUGACACAAACCCCCAUCGGUGUUUCGCUAGAAAAGGGAUCACCAACAGAUGCAAUUUCUUCCAGUGCUGGGAUUGUGUUUAUUUUACUGGAAUUGUACUCCAUUUAUCUGGUUGCAAAGGGAGUAGGCAAUUUAUACUGGCAGCAGUGAAUGUACUGAGACUGGCAGUGGUCGCACGCUCACGGCUUGUUACCCAAGGAAAGUUCAGAGCAUACUAAUUUAUCCCACCGUGGAGCAGCAGUAGAAGAAAUGUACAAAUGGUGUCAAUCGGUCUUGCAUUAGUAACAGUGUAAACAUUUUUUUCAGAUGAUAAAAGAUCCAAUAAAUCUACUUUAUUCUGUUCCAUUGUAAGGUCCAGUUCCUCCUUUCCAUCAUACAAACAACUUCCAGGUAACGGAAGGGAUAUUGCAUUCCUUAUUCACAAAUCACACUUUGACGGAUUAUUUGUAAUUUUCAGUGCCUACCUUCUUAUAUGGUGUUCAUAAAACGAGAUUAGAGUGAUUUACAAUAGCGAAAGAUGGAACAAGACUGAGAGGAGAUGUGACUCAUUAGACAUCAUCCUGUGCCUGUUGGAAGGAGCCCGCAUCGCUCAGGAAAGGAUGCUGUGAUUUUCCAGUCCCGGGGAUUUAGACUUAGCUUGGAGGUGUUUCAAAGCGCCUCUGUUCCGCCUGAAAACAUGACCUCCCAUCCCUGCUUUUACCUUUUGUGAAGCCAAACAAGCAAUUCUGUGGGAAGGCUCCCCACCCUCCUUCUGACCCUCAAACUCUAUGAUAGUGCUCUAAAAACGUAUCUCAUCAAUGUUGUGUCACUGAGCUUUUAAACGGUGAAAAAAUGCUUUUUCUCACAUUCAAAAUGUGGCAGUUAUACUUGGUUUGUAAUUCAUGGUGGUUCAAGUUGUCAGUAUUUGUUACGGUUCUGGUGUUUAGCUCUUGUACCUGGAACUAAGAAAGAACUUGCUUCUCUGGUGGGCAAAUCAAAAAUACACUCAUCUGCUCUGUUAGCAGGUACAAACUUGGCUUCAUUGGGCAAAUGAAAAAGAAAUAGGAUGAACACCCAAAGGUUUAUUAUAAUGAGCAGGAAAAUGGACUCCAGCAGAAGCCGUCUCACUUCUGGAUUCAUGCAUAGUAUUGGGAAUCUAUGGCUCUGGACCCAUCCUACAGGACUCUGUUGGGGCAAGGAGAUGAGAUUUUUGCCAGCAGUACUCAGGACAAAGCCACUGAGGCAGCUUGGAAGGAGCUGAAAGCCACCAGCAGCUCAGCAAUGAAUUCCCUGAAAUGCUGUUAUUAUGUUAACAAGUCUUCUUUUAUCCUAUCAAGGUCUUAGGGAAUCUUUCUAUAGACCAUUUAGGCAAAGCAAGACAAAACAUGCUGAAAUUGAGAAUUGAAUGCUUAUGGACAGAAAUCCUAUAAUGUUAUGAUUCAAUUUCACUUUGGGUAAAGAUGAUAGUUUCUGCAAUCCAGCUUCUUGGCUCACUGAAACACAGGGAAAAUAAGAGGGAGGGAAGGCAGAGAUAUGGGGAGAAAAUAAUAAAAACUGGUAGAAUAUUCCAGUUCCAGCUGGGGUUGGAAAAGACACAGGUGUGUCUUUAAGGGACUGAUGUGAAGCAGAGUAGCAAUGUCUUUCUCAUGGCCUGUAGCCAUUGCUUUGAUGCAAAACAGGCAGGGAGUGCAGCAGUUCUAUGUGCUUAAGGGUGGUGGCUCAGACCCAUCAAACCACACAGUGCAGCUCCCAUCUAUAAUAUACAUGAAGUCAUUUGCAGACUUAAUUGUGAAUGUUAUUUCACAUGGAGUUGGCUGUAUCCAGCAUACUGAGACUAAUACUAAUCGUUCUGUUGUAUAGACUACAGCCAUUGCUAUGUCUGGGGAAUCACUGUUGUUGUACAGACUUCUUGCAGUGGUAUUUGAGCUGUGUAGGAUCUGGGUUUUCCUUUGAAACACUGGAGGUCAGGAACAACUAGUCCCAGCUAAGAACUAAUUGCCUGGAGCAUAAUUUCUCUAUAGUGAGAGAGCAUAGAAGUAGCAUCUGAAAGUACAAAGAAAGUCACUGUGCUUUUUGCUCUAUCAGCAGACUUUAAUGAAAUUUUGAAGGGGGAAAAAAUUGCUUCUUGGCUUAAAGCAUGAGCUAUGUUAUUAAUCUCUGCAAAGGAGUUUUAUAAUUGAAAUGCUGAUGGAACAGCAGCUCUACUGACUCAGAUGAUGACCUAACAGUAUCUAGCAUAGGCAUAUACGAGGCUGCAUAAUACUGUGUCUUGAUCGCAAGAGUUACCAAUAAUGCAGGCAUAUUGAAAAAUAUGACUUAGUUGAUUCCAGUUCCUUUGAAAUUGGUUUUUCCCCAUUCUUAUGGCACCUGGUAUCUGUGUGAUGUUGUAGGGACUCAGACUUUCCCAAGAGGUCCCAUAUACUGAAGCUACGAAGGUGGUGAAGGGUCUUGAGGGGGAAGAUGUACGAGGAGUAGCUUUGUUCAGCACAGAGAAGAAGAGACUGAGGUCAUAGUAUUGGAGCCAGGAGUUGGACUUGAUGAUCCUUAUGGGUCCCUUCCAACUUGAGAUAUACUAUGAUUCUACUACAGGGAUUUUCUUUGGUGGGUUAUUGGCAUGGAGUGCGCUGCCUGUUGGUAGUGUAGCAUUUUCCUAUGCUAUCACCCUUAUCAGGAGUUGAAAAAAAACUUUGUGUACUUAUACUGACAGGGUUUGCAGUCUCAAAACAGCAGCUGGCCAUUAGAAAACAAAACAGUCUGCUCCUUACUCUCAACCUCUCAGGCAAACUGUGAAAUUGACAGGCAGUUUCUUGGCCAGGUUAGCCUACAGGCCCCUCAGCCAAGCCAGCAGCUCAGCUUUCCCCAGCAUGUCCUGGUCUGCAUAUCUUAUUUGGGGUUUUUCCUCCAGUGUGUGUUGGUUUUGCUCUAGUUGUUCAGUCCUGAGGAAAUGGUGACCUUGCAGGGUGGGCACGCUAGGGGAGACCUGCUCAGAUCUGCCUCUGAAAUGCAGGCAUCUGAUGGUAAUUUUUAUUCAGAUUUCUCUAGGUUUUCCUUUUCUUAAGGUUUCAAAAAGCUGCAAAGAAAGCGAGAUAUAUAAAUUACUAGUCUCA